AGUGAACGCUGGCAGUAGGCCUAACACAUGCAAGUCGAACGGCAGCACAGUAAGAGCUUGCUCUUACGGGUGGCGAGUGGCGGACGGGUGAGGAAUACAUCGGAAUCUACUUUUUCGGGGGGGAUAACGUAGGGAAACUUACGCUAAUACCGCAUACGACCUACGGGCGAAAGCAGGGGAUCUUCGGACCUUGCGCGAAUGAAUGAGCCGAUCUCGGAUUAGCUAGUUGGGAGGGUAAGGGCCCACCAAGGCGACGAACCGUAGCUGGUCUGAGAGGAUGACCAGCCACACUGGAACUGGGACACGGCCAAGACUCCUAGGGGGGGCAGAGGUGGGAAACUUUGGACAAUGGGGGAAAGCCUGAUCCAGAAAUACGGGGUGGUUGAAGAAGUCUUUCGGGUUUUAAAGCCCUUUUGUUGGGAAAGAAAAGGAGCAGGGUAAUACCCCGAUGUUCUGACGGUAACCAACGAGUAAGCAACGGCUAACUUCGUG
rnacentral:rRNA from 1 species